GCAUCUGACCGGCCUUGAAAGAGGUUUUCCCUUCGGGGCAGAUGUGUAGGUGCUGCAUGGUUGUCGUCAGCUCGUGCCGUGAGGUGUCGGCUUAAGUGCCAUAACGAGCGCAACCUCAUCAUUAGUUACCAUCAGGUAAGGCUGGGGACUCUAAUGAGACUGCCAUCGUAAGAUGUGAGGAAGGUGGGGAUGACGUCAAAUCAGCACGGCCCUUACGUCCGGGGCGACACACGUGUUACAAUGGGUGGUACAAAGGGCAGCUACCUGGCGACAGGAUGCUAAUCUCCAAAACCACUCUCAGUUCGGAUCGGAGUCUGCAACUCGACUCCGUGAAGCUGGAUUCGCUAGUAAUCGCGCAUCAGCCACGGCGCGGUGAAUACGUUCCCGGGCCUU
rnacentral:rRNA from 1 species